rnacentral:rRNA from 1 species
AGCAGCCGCGGUAAUUCCAGCUCCAAUAGCGUAUAUUAAAGUUGUUGCAGUUAAAAAGCUCGUAGUUGAAUUUCGGGAUCAGUACGUUGGUCGUGCCUUAGGUACGUACUGGUGUUACUGAUUUCUACCUUCUGACGAACCAUCAUGUCAUUAAUUUGGUGUGGUGGGGAAUCAGGACUGUUACUUUGAAAAAUUGAGUGUUUAAAGCAGGCUCGCGCUUGAAUACAUUAGCAUGGAAUAAUGAAAUAGGACGUUGAUCCUAUUUGUUGGUUUCUAGGAUUGACGUAAUGAUUAAUAGGGAUAGUUGGGGCAUUAGUAUUCAAUUGUCAGAGGUGAAAUUCUUGGAUUUAUUGAAGACUAACUACUGACGAAAGCAUUUGCCAAGGAUGUUUCAUUAAU